rfam:Loktanella hongkongensis DSM 17492 genomic scaffold Scaffold8, whole genome shotgun sequence.
UUCCCGGCACAACGGCUUCCUGGCGUGCCGGGCGAUUUUCAAUGGAGCA